rnacentral:rRNA from 1 species
GACGAAGGGGGCAAGCGUUGUUCGGAAUUACUGGGCGUAAAGCGAGUGUAGGUGGUUGUCAUAGUCAGGCGUGAAAGCCUUGAGCUCAACUCAAGAAAUGCGCUUGAUACUGGGCAGCUAGAGGACCGGAGAGGAUAGUGGAAUUCCCAGUGUAGUGGUGAAAUACGUAGAGAUUGGGAAGAACACCAGUGGCGAAGGCGGCUAUCUGGACGGUUUCUGACACUAAGACUCGAAAGCCAGGGGAGCAAACGGG